AUAUUCCAGGAUAUGCAAAAGA
rnacentral:siRNA from 1 species